AGAGUUUGAUCAUGGCUCAAAUUGAACGCUGGCGGCAGGCUUAACACAUGCAAGUCGAGCGGAGAUGAGGUGCUUGCACCUUAUCUUAGCGGCGGACGGGUGAGUAAUGCUUAGGAAUCUGCCUAUUAGUGGGGGACAACAUUCCGAAAGGAAUGCUAAUACCGCAUACGUCCUACGGGAGAAAGCAGGGGAUCUUCGGACCUUGCGCUAAUAGAUGAGCCUAAGUCGGAUUAGCUAGUUGGUGGGGUAAAGGCCUACCAAGGCGACGAUCUGUAGCGGGUCUGAGAGGAUGAUCCGCCACACUGGGACUGAGACACGGCCCAGACUCCUACGGGAGGCAGCAGUGGGGAAUAUUGGACAAUGGGGGGAACCCUGAUCCAGCCAUGCCGCGUGUGUGAAGAAGGCCUUAUGGUUGUAAAGCACUUUAAGCGAGGAGGAGGCUACUGAGACUAAUACUCUUGAUAGUGGACGUUACUCGCAGAAUAAGCACCGGCUAACUCUGUGCAGCAGCCGCGGAAUACAGAGGUC
rnacentral:rRNA from 1 species